UACGGGGGGAGCAAGCGUUGUUCGGAUUUACUGGGCGUAAAGGGCGCGUAGGCGGCCAGCACAAGUCAGUUGUGAAAUCUCCGAGCUUAACUCGGAAAGGUCAACUGAUACUGUGCGGCUAGAGUGCGGAAGGGGCAACUGGAAUUCUUGGUGUAGCGGUGAAAUGCGUAGAUAUCAAGAGGAACACCCGUGGCGAAAGCGGCUCACUGGGUCUCUUCUGACGCUGAGGCACGAAAGCUAGGGUAGCGAACGGG
rnacentral:rRNA from 1 species